UAUGUGAUCGUCUCUCGCAUAUCAAUAAGCGGAGGAAAAGAAACUAACAAGGAUUCCCCUAGUAACGGCGAGUGAAGCGGGAAGAGCUCAAAUUUGAAAUCUUAAAGGGUUUCCCUUUACGAAUUGUAGUUUAAAGAAGUGUUUUCUGUUGAGGUUUUGGUAAAAGUUCUUUGGAAUAGGACAUCAUAGAGGGUGAGAAUCCCGUAUUUGGACCUUACUUUCUAGCUUUGUGAUACACUUUCAAAGAGUCGGAUUGUUUGGGAAUGCAGUCCAAAAUGGGUGGUAAAUUUCAUCUAAAGCUAAAUAUUGGCGAGAGACCGAUAGCGAACAAGUACCGUGAGGGAAAGAUGAAAAGAACUUUGAAAAGAGAGUUAAACAGUACGUGAAAUUGUCAAAAGGGAAGCGUUUGACACCAGUGUUGUUUUUCUGAAAAUCAAUUAAAGAACUGUUUAUGCUAAGUUGUUUAGACUUUAUCAGCUAACUGUUUAGUUUUGAGCUUUUCUUUAAUGCACUUUUCAGUUAACAAGUCAACAUCAAUUUCUUUUGCUGUAAAAAAGCUUGAGGAAGGUGGCUUGAGAUUCGUCUUAAGUGUUUAUAGCCUCUUGCCUAUGCAGUCGGAGAGAUUGAGGUCUGCAGCGUAGAUCCUUCGGGGCUAAAUGCAUUUGUGCUAAGUUAUAGCAUUUUAUAGACAACUUGUUGACUAUGAUUUGUCUUGUAGCUUACUCGCUUAUGUUAUUUUACCUACGCUUAGGAUGUUGACUGAUAUGUAGUCGU
rnacentral:rRNA from 1 species